CGAGCGGCGGGAGUCCUCAGCGGCGUUCGCGUGGUCGGAUGCGUUGGGAACUGCGGCGGAUUGCAGCCAACCUCCAGAUCCCGUCGAAGUAUGUACUCUGGAGGGCGGGCUCGUCGCGGCGGGAGGCAGCCGGCUCGCGAAAUUCCGAUCUGUACGAGCUGCGUCGGCAAAUAUACAAUAUUAUCAGUGAUCGGUACGCGUGUAUUCUUGCUUACUACUCUGCUCGUCAGUGCCUUGUGUGUUGUUUCUUGGAACUGGCCUGCUUUUUCCUUGUACCAGAGCAGAGCUGGGGCAAUAUCUUGUCUUGCUCCGGUUCUAUGCGAAAUAGAAUUCUGAAUUCAGUUGUACGAGUGCUCUAGUGCACCUUAGUCCAUAGAUUGUCUUGGCAAUAAAUGAAUGGAAUUACUUGUUGUGUUAAUGCGUGUGCAGAAGAUGGUAUUUUACUGUCCUAUUUGUGUUGGCCUUGUGUGGCCGUAACCAUGCUGCUUCAGAUAGAUUUGUGUAGACUGUUUUCUGCGGACUAUGCUUCUCACUUUUAGGAUAAAUUAGCCGAUUUAUCAUUCGUUUUAGAAUGACCUGAGAAACUAGUAUUCCAUGAUGCGGGUUAACUUUCCAAUACGUUUAAUCAACACAAAUACUGAAAUUCAUGGCAUAGUUGCAUUAUGAAGAAUGUUCUUGCUGAUCAAACUAAUGUUUAUAAUUGAUUUGAGUUUAUAUAUUUUCUACUGAUCCAUCUGAAUGGACUAUUUUUGCAUUUGGUACCCAGCGAGUAGCUCAUCAACUAGUGCUCCUUAAUUACUGAUGGUUGGGUUUUCAGUCAGAGAUAUGAACAAUUUUUGUGGAUAGUCAGUUAUUAUGCAGCAUCAGAACUCCGCCUUAAUUAUUGUUGCUGAUUCAAAUCAACUAAUUAUUGUUGCUGAUAUAAAUCAACUCAACACUGGUGAGAGGCUGCUUGGAGAUGUAACUUCUUUUUAUCAUGUAGCUGCUUUGGUUCCAUGUUAAAGGUUCUUCUGCUGCUGCUGGCGCUGCAGCAUCGUCUGUUGCUCGUGGUGCUGCGGGUGUAUCUUCAGAAAUAGCUAGCUCUCUCCCUGCAAAAGAGAAAUUAGCUAGCUCUCAUAUAAAUAUUUGUAUUUAGAACUUCCGGCAAUUCUAGAUUAUGAUAGUGUCUAAUUGUGUUUGUGCCUUCUUAUGCCCGAUAUAUUCCAAUCAACAUGAUGUAGUUACUUUUUUGUUUGUUCUUAUGCCUGAACAUACUUUUGUACUUGUUUAGAUUUUCAAUAUUUGCUUCUUGUAAUUACAAUUAUGUAUCAUUAAUUGUCUUAUCUUGCGUGCAUAGAAGAAACUUGUGAAAUUACAUCACUUAGCACGUUAGUUAUGUUCAGAAUAAUGUCAACUAAAACAUUUGUUUCUUCUUUAGACUCCACAUACCAAGAGUGAUUACUGCAUCAGAUGUCAAGAUUCUCCUAAAGCUACCAUGAAGAUCCUCCCAUGCCUUCAUAAGGUACAUGUGACACUGUUGCCUGAAUGAUGACAUUCAAUUUUAGGGUCUGCAUGAUUUAUGGUGUGCUCUAAGUGGAGUUACCGAUAGGUGGUCAUAACAUGUAAGUUUUUGCCUGUGCUGGAUGCCGUAUACCGAUACAGCGUAAUAACAUAAUAAUUAUUCAAAAUGAAAAGGUCGUUUUGGUGCCUCAUUGCUUCUUGCCUAAAAAAGAAAAGAAAAAGAUUCAUUUCCUAGUUUGGACUAGUACUUUAAAAAGAAGUUUCCUUGGGACUGUCUGAAAACCAGUGAUGUAGUAUCAAGAUGGUCAUUGCAUUGUCGUAAGUGUUUGUUCGAAUUUGGUUAGAUCACUUAAAAAUUCUGGUUAGCAAAAUUUUGUUAGAACUACGUCCCCAAAUGUAGAGCCAUGUGACCUGGUUGGUGUGGCUCGUACCAUCUUAGCAGUUAUGGUAAUCGUUUUACCUCGACAAUUUUUAUUUCGCCAGUUGUGGGAUUGGGAGCUUACCCAGCCACACCCAAUUUUUUUCCUGUUGGGUUUCUAAUUGUGGCACCGACAUGCGCGGUUUGGAAAUUGGAAACUGAGGCAUGACGACGGCUGUGAGCGGCCGACGGACGACAGGCGGACUUGGUGGCCGGGUGAGCGGCGCGUGGCUCUGCGCUCUCGAUGUCCUCGGUAGGGCCCUGGUCGGCUGGUGGAAUAGGCGUCGUCGGCGGCAGUUGUAUCGGUGGCGUGGUGAGCAGCAUGCGUGGGAACCACAUGUUGUAACUAAAUUUUCAUUUUUCCUAUCUAUUUGUUUGUGUACUCUUUUUGAUGUUUCUUACAUAAUUUUUUCUGCUAUUUCAUGAAUCAAACAAGAACUGCUCUCAACUAAGCAAGCCUGGCAAUUUUGGCAAAUGGAAAGGAUUCAGCAUCUCGUUCGGUUGCUUUCGCUCCACAGAUUACCAUGCCAUUUGGAGAAUGUAAUUUGUUACUUAGAAUAAUUCCAGUAUUUAUCUUUUCCGCAAAUAAGGCAAACAGUUCUCAUAGACACGUUUGUGCAUCACUGUGUCUUAUUUACAAUGCCCCGGAGUAUGUAAUGUAAUGUAUUGGAGUUCUUUAUGUAUACACAGUUGUAAUUUACGUCAUCCCUCAGUUUUCA